UUAGGGUUUGAAAAAUGUGACCUCUGAGCUUUCAAACGGAUCUUCUUCAUCUUUCACGAAGAACACACAGCGGCGGCCGGAGGCGAGAUUCCCCGAUUCACCUCGCCGUGAACACCAUAACUCAACCCUUUCUCAACUCGGAUGAGCGGCGUGGCCCAAGCUUCAUCUUCGGAGAACCUCUUUCGACCUUACUCUCCUCUUAUUCUUUUGAACGCGACGGCUUCUCAUCUCGGACAACGUUACGACGCCGGAUAAGGAUCACUCUAGGACCGAAACCUCGCCCUCUCCGUCUCUUCUCCGUUCGUUCCUCAACCUACUCGCGGUGGCCGGUCUCUCUUUCUCUCACGACCUGCGGCGGUGCUCGGAAUCACAACACGAGUCAUCAUCUCCAAUUGGAGCUCCCUCGCCACCGUGACCAAAAAUGGAGCUCUCUUCUCUCUCUGAAUCAAAUUAAGUCUCAGUCUCUUCUCCUCGUCAAUCUCGAUCUUCGAUUGUAAUUCGUUCCCAAAUUGAAGAAGAGCAAGGUUGGUGAUGAUCGAUGAUGAUAUUGAUGAUACGACCUGUUGCAGAUGUAUGGUGUUGAUGAAGAGUGAUGAAGAUUCAGAAGGAGAAGAAGCUUUUUACAGGUCUUGUGAAGAGAAAGAGAUGAAGAGUGAUUGGAGAAAGCUUGAAGAUGCAUUGAGAAGGUUCUGUUGAAGGUUUUUUUAGAAAUUGGAUAGGAGAUUGAAGAAUGAAUGGAGAGUGGAUAAUGAAGGUUGAAGAUGGUGAAGUAUUGGUGGUUCUGUUGAGAAAAUGGUGAACCCCUGAAAGUGGUGAAGACUGUUCUGUUAUAUAGAUGCCCCAGGCCUGGUGUGUUGGGAUAACUUGAAGAUGAAUGAAAGGCUUUGAAUUCAAUCAUGAUGCGAUACGCACAUUCGAUGCAAAGAACUCAAACUUCCUAUUCGCUUUAGAUUUGGAUGGUGCAAUAGAUUCAAGACAAUACGAGGGCCAUGAUGAAGAUGCUUGGAGUUUUAUAGAUUAGCAAAGCUGCUGAUUUUUUUGUAUAGUGUUUCUUGAUGGAAAUAUGUAUAAUCUUUGUAGUAGAGACUUGAAUGAUCUUUUUGAAUAAUUUUUUUUUUGUAUAGACUUUGGUAGUGACAUCAAAAGGAAUUGGA